rnacentral:rRNA from 1 species
GAUGAACGCUAGCGGCAGGCUUAAUACAUGCAAGUCGAGGGGCCGCAGGAAUAGCAAUAUUUGCUGGCGACCGGCGCACGGGUGCGUAACACGUAUACAAUCUGCCUUUAACAGGUGGAUAGCCCGGAGAAAUCCGGCUUAAUACCACAUAACAAUAGAACAAGCAUUUGUUUUAUUUAAAAGCUCCGGGGGUUAGAGAUGAGUAUGCGUGUGAGUAGCUAGGUGGUGAGGUGACGGCUCACCAAGGCGAGGAUCAGUAGGGGAUCUGAUAGGAUCAACCCCCACACGGAUACUGAGACACGGAUCCGACUCCUACGGGAGGCAGCAGUAAGGAAUAUUGGACAAUGCCCGCAAGGGUGAUCCAGCCAUGCCGCGUGCAGGAAGACGGCCCUAUGGGUUGUAAACUGCUUUUGUACCGGAGAAAACCUCCCCUCGUGAGGGGAGCUGAUAGUAUGGUAAGAAUAAGCAUCGGCUAACUUCGUGCCAGCCGCCGCGGUAA